UUAGAGCAGAAAUUCUCUCCUGCCCUGUACUUCCUUCCCCACUUCCUACCUUUGAUAGUUGGAAUACUGGCAGGCAUCUCACCACCAAGAGAAGACAAACUAAAGGAUCAAAAGCAACGUACUGAAGAUAGGAGAGCAAAAGAUGAAAAUAACUUGGAUCGUUAGUGAUCCUGAAGGGCCACCAAAUAAACCUUUGGAUGCUUACCUCUAUACUUCCUAUUGAGUUAUACAACGAAUUUGGAAUUUUCCUAAAGAUUUGGGUUUGAAAACACUUCUCUACUUCAAGUUUUAUCACGGACCAGGACUGAUCAACUAAAUGCGAAUAGAUGUGUUCUAUAUCAGCUUCCCUAGAACACAAAGCCUGAAUCAAGGAUGAAAGGAAGAUGCUUUUUGGCAAGGCAUAAAUUCAGAGGAUCCAGGAUGAGGACAAAGGCAAGUGAGCUAUGCAAGAUGUAAAAUGAUGUUUCAACAACACAAAGCUGAUUGUUUGGCAGUUGCAUCUAUUUCAUGCAUAGAACUUCUCCAGAUGGACUACCAAGAAACACUGUGCUUCAAAGAAUUUGAUAAGGACUAUGAAAGGGAUUAACAAUGGGGAUAUCAGCAAGAAAUCAGAUAACAGAGCUGUGAUGGAACUCGAGAUCUAAGUGAUUCUAAGUGACCCCCCAACACACAAUGAAGCCUCUGCAAAGAAAAGCUUAAAUUAAAAUAGAACACAAACUCU
rnacentral:lncRNA from 1 species